AUACGGAGGGUGCAAGCGUUAAUCGGAAUUACUGGGCGUAAAGAGUACGUAGGCGGUUCGUUAAGUUAGAUGUGAAAGCCCCGGGCUUAACCUGGGAACUGCAUUUAAAACUGGCGAACUAGAGUUGAGUAGAGGGGAGUGGAAUUUCAGGUGUAGCGGUGAAAUGCGUAGAGAUCUGAAGGAACACCAGUGGCGAAGGCGACUCCCUGGACUCGAACUGACGCUGAGGUACGAAAGCGUGGGUAGCAAACGGAAUUAGAUACCCUAGUAGUCC
rnacentral:rRNA from 1 species